rnacentral:rRNA from 1 species
AUGAACGCUGGCGGCGUGCCUAAUCCAUGCCAGUCGAGCGGACAGAUGAGGAGCUUGCUCCUCUGACGUUAGCGGCGGACGGGUGAGUAACACGUGGAUAACCUACCUAUAAGACUGGGAUAACUUCGGGAAACCGGAGCUAAUACCGGAUAAUAUAUUGAACCGCAUGGUUCAAUAGUGAAAGACGGUUUUGCUGUCACUUAUAGAUGGAUCCGCGCCGCAUUAGCUAGUUGGUAAGGUAACGGCUUACCAAGGCAACGAUGCGUAGCCGACCUGAGAGGGUGAUCGGCCACACUGGAACUGAGACACGGUCCAGACUCCUACGGGAGGCAGCAGUAGGGAAUCUUCCGCAAUGGGCGAAAGCCUGACGGAGCAACGCCGCGUGAGUGAUGAAGGUCUUCGGAUCGUAAAACUCUGUUAUUGGGGAAGAACAAAUGUGUAAGUAACUAUGCACGUCUUGACGGUACCUAAUCAGAAAGCCACGGCUAACUACGUG